CCCUUAGAUGUUCUGGGCCGCACGCGCGCUACACUGAUGCAUUCAACGAGUCUAAAACCUGCUCUGAUAGGGGUGGGUAAUCUUUUGAAUGUGCAUCGUGAUUGGGAUAGAUGAUUGCAAUUUUUCAUCUUCAACGAGGAAUUCCUAGUAAGCGCGAGUCAUCAACUCGCGUUGAUUACGUCCCUGCCCUUUGUACACACCGCCCGUCGCUACUACCGAUUGAAUGGCUUAGUGAGGCCUCAGGAUCCGCGCUUAAUGUGUGGAGAAUUUGGACAAACUACGUCAUUUAGAGGAAGUAAAAGUCGUAACA
rnacentral:rRNA from 1 species